AGGCUCCUGAAUGAUGUAAGCAUUUGUUGUCCCUGUCCUUAAAUAACUACAGAGCAGAGCCAAAUGGGUUUUCUCUCCAACAGAUGGGCUGCUGACAGGUGCUGCUGGAGGCUGAGAGAUGGAAAACCAAGGCUGUCUUGACAUGGUCUCUCACUAGCUUGAAGAGAAAAAAGCAGGAUCCAGUCUUUUGUUAUUUACUGAUGUCACUGCAGCCUGGGAGAGAAAUCAACACAGUCAUGAAUUAUGGACCAUGCUGGUAGGACAUUUCAUUCUGUUUGAUUUAGUGGGAAAAAAUCUCAGAAAACUAAAGAUGAGUUCAAGCUAGGACACUUUUCUUCUUGCUUCUGAGUUGCCCUGAGUGGUGAGGAGUGUCUGGGUUGAGUACUUUCAUGUGGGUCACUGGGAAGUUGAGACCCUUCAGCAAAUAGGGCACAGUUUUGAAGAAGCCUGAUAUUACAGCAGUGCAGCUCUAUCUCCACUCAGGAAACUCACCAGACUUUGAAAAAAAAAAAAAAAACAACCCUCAGAAUCACUAGGAUGAAAGAAUCACAUGUUGUUGUGUGGGUGUUUUUAAGCUUCAGCCAUGGGAUCCUCCAGCUCUUCCUUCACCUGCAGGUCUUUUCCAUCCCACCUAACACCUUCUGCUGCUGAGCACCUGAGGGAUAAGGAAAGCAGCAUCCUGGCCUGUGGGUGUGUGUUUCUGAGAUGGGAGAGGCAUGAGGGCACAGACUGGCAGGACAUAACACGCACCUUCUCUGCAGAGGUUACCAGCAGCAUCCUCACUCAUUUUGUGUGAAGAAAAGGAACUCCAACACUACAUUAAAAAAAAAAAAAAA